UACAGAGGGUGCGAGCGUUGUCCGGAAUCACUGGGCGUAAAGGGCGCGUAGGUGGUGGCUUAAGCGUGCGGUGAAAGCUCGGAGCUCAACUCCGAGUCGGCCGUGCGAACUGGGCUCACUGGAGCAUAGUAGAGGCAGGUGGAAUUCCUGGUGUAGCGGUGAAAUGCGUAGAGAUCAGGAAGAACAUCGGUGGCGAAGGCGCUCUGCUGGACCAUAACUGACACUCAGGGACGAAAGCUAGGGGAGCGAAUGGG
rnacentral:rRNA from 1 species